AAGCCUCUGCUAAUGUGUACCUAGUUUAUACGAAGUGACCCAUAAGUUGAGGAGGCGGUGACCGUGGAGGAGGAGGAUGAGGUAGCCAACACUGUUUAUAUAUAUAUAUAUAUAUAUAUAUAUAUAUAUAUAUAAUUUUAUUUUUAUUUUUUUUCUCAAUUGGGGUAGCCCCCAAAAUAUUGGGACAUAUAAAAAAGAAAACUCACAGGAACUUUGUUGACUCUAGAGAACCUUGGGCAAAUCGCACAUCCCCGUGGCGGCGACUUUGCAUGCAGAUGUGCCUACCAUGGUGACCACGGGUAACGGGGGAAUCAAGAUUCCAUUCCAUACAGGGACCCUGAGAAACAGCUACCACAUGCAAGGAAGACA